CAAAAUUAUUCUGAUGUGCAUUUAAUAAUAUCCCUAUUUUUUAUACUUUUCGUAACACUUACUACUUAUGAAAGUGAUAACAUUCAUUAACUUUAGGCUUAUCUUUAACCCAAAUCUGAGCAAGUUGGCCUUAACCAAACAAAGUAUCAAUAACGAAAUUUUACAUCUAUUCCACGUCGCUGCGAAUUGUAGUUUCUUCCAUACAUUUUAUUAUUUCCGAAGAUCGUUAUCGUUAUUGCACUUUGUUUAAGCCCCCGAUAACGUAGAAUGUAGAUUAAGAGUAACCUAGGGGCCUUUGCACACUGCCGUACUUAUCAAAAGUACAAAGAGUAAGCAUCGAAUUACCUGAAAAUUAACCCAUAUUUAAUUGGGUUUGUGCUAGUCAUAGAUUAUAGAGUACGCAGUGUGAAGCGGCCCUAACGCAUAUAUCAGUUAUUGUCUAUUGAUUUUUGUGACACAUAUAGUGGAGAGGCAUAUAUGUAUUAGAUAUCGUACAUAUCCUUUAUGGCGCUGUAAACUAUCUGACUGCUGCAUGUAAUAACUUCAUGUUUUUCAAACACAUGUUUUAAUGUCGGUAACGUAUAUUGUUUUUAUACGCGAGAUAGUAUCGUUAUCUAUUUUGAUGUAUUAUUCCACGAAUGAGCGUAAUUAUGUAGCGAGUACGGCUUCCCUUAUCUAUUUUUGACUGGCAUCGAUGAAAAUGAACGUUUUCGAGUAGCUCCUGUUGAGAUAAAAACUUAUUGAUGUUACUAUGAGUAUAUAAAGUAUAUUGCACACACCCGAAAUUCUAAUCAUUGCACGCGCUUGUAGUUUAGUUAAAUAAUGUGACAUUAAAUAUAUUUCUUCGAACUAAUAAAGCUUUUUGUUUUAUCUCUUGUGACUUACGGCAUGAUUUAACGUUUUACAGAUUUGUUCCCAAGAAUAUAAGCAUUUACUAAUGAAGCUUCAAAAUGCAUGUGACUGAUUAACAAAUAUUUGCUAUUUUAUUUUUAUAACUUGCAUGAGAGUAUAUACUUUUGAAAUUAAUAAACAUAUUUUAAGAGAAAUUUUGUUUGAUUUAAGUGCUUUUAUUUAAUCGUU